rnacentral:misc_RNA from 1 species
CUUUCCGCCAACCAUUUGAGAUUCCAAGAAUAUUAGUUUUAACCUUUUUCUCUUGGUGUUUCUAUUGUCAUAGAAUGGAAUAUAUUGAAGAAGAAAAGCAUAAAAUAAGAAAAGAAUUAUGAAAUGAAGGAAAGAGAAAGGCUAGAGAUAACAUACUACCAACCCCAUUGCCCAAAACUUCUGUUUCUUGUUAGUUUAACCUGAUUCUUGUUCAGCAAGUUCAGGUAAAGGAAAAUGGUGGAGGUAGAAACUAAUGGGAUUCAUCCGCCAUACAAGGCGAACGUGCCUGCUGCAGAAGACGUAAAUGAUUCACCAAUUGAGCAAGUCAGGCUUACAGUUCCAAUCACAGACGAUCCAAAAUUGCCAUGCUUGACAUUUCGAACGUGGGUUUUGGGGGUGAUUUCGUGUGCUCUUCUGGCAUUCCUGAAUCAAUUCUUUGUUUAUCGCCAGAAUCCACUAUACAUAUCAUCAGUUGCAGCUCAGAUUGCAGUCCUGCCAAUAGGGAAGUUUAUGGCAGCAUCAUUACCAAACAAAAUUAUUUACGUUCCAGGAACAAAAUGGUCAUUUUCAUUGAAUCCAGGGCCCUUCAACAUGAAAGAGCAUGUCCUGAUCACCAUAUUUGCCAAUUCAGGAUCAAAUCCUGUUUAUGCAGUGAAUAUUAUUACCAUUGUUAAGGCAUUCUAUCAUAAGGAUGUACAUCCACUAGCAGCUUUUCUGUUGUCACUAACCACCCAGAUGCUUGGAUAUGGUUGGGCUGGAGUUUUCAGAAAGUUUCUUGUUGAUUCACCUUACAUGUGGUGGCCAGCCAAUCUGGUUCAAGUUUCGCUCUUCCGGGCCUUGCAUGAUGAUGAGACUAGGCCUAAGAAAGGCCUAACAAGGCUGCAGUUCUUUGUUGUAGUCUUUGUAUCGAGCUUCGCAUACUAUAUCGUUCCUAACUAUCUGUUUCCAUCUAUAACUGCUCUCUCUUUUAUUUGUUGGAUAUGGAAAGAUUCCAUCACAGCCCAACAAAUUGGUUCUGGUCUUAAAGGACUUGGCAUUGGCUCAUUUGCCCUUGAUUGGUCAACCAUAUCUAGCUUCCUGGGAUCUCCCUUAGCCACUCCAGGAUUUGCUGUAAUCAAUUUGUUGGCUGGUUUUAUCAUCAUCCUCUACAUCAUGAUCCCUAUAGCUUACUGGACCGAUUCAUAUGGAGCCAAACGUUUCCCCAUUUUUUCGUCGCAUGUGUUCAAUGCAACCGGGCAGCCCUAUGAUGUUGAGCUAGUUCUGAAUUCCUCCUCUUUCUCAUUCAACGAAUCAACAUAUGAUGCCUACAGCAAAGUCCAUUUAAGCAUAUUCUUUGUUUAUGCAUAUGGUCUCAGCUUUGCUUUAUUGGCAGCCACAUUGUCUCAUGUUGCACUUUUCUGUAACACCCCUGAUUUUUUUAUAUAUUAUUAUUGGGCUUCGUGUAGGUAUCCUCAAUUCGCGGAAAUUCGACAGUUGUCCGGAUCUGUGAAUUUCCGGCCAGACAGACCAGCUACCGGAAAAGUCUCCGAAUUGGAUCGAGGUUUUGGCUACCCCACCAUUGUCAGGCAUCCCGAGCGCGUUCCCGAAGUUGGAAUCGGCAAAGGCUACAGGAGGAUUUUAUUUUG